GUCACGCCUAACGAUGCCAACUAGUUGUUGGGAAGGAGGACUUCCUUAGUAACGAAGCUAACGCGUGAAGUUGGCCGCCUGGGGAGGUACGGUCGCAAGAUUAAACUACAAAGGAAUUGACGGGGACCCGGCACAAGCGGUGGAUGAUGUGGAUUAAUUCGAUGCAACGCGAAAACCUUACCUACCCUUGACAUGCCAGGAACUCUGCUGAGAGGUGGAGGUGCCCGAAAGGGAGCCUGGACACAGGUGCUGCAUGGCUGUCGU
rnacentral:rRNA from 1 species